rnacentral:rRNA from 1 species
AUUGAACGCUGGCGGCAGGCCUAACACAUGCAAGUCGAGCGGUAGAGAGGUGCUUGCAUCUCUUGAGAGCGGCGGACGGGUGAGUAAUGCCUAGGAAUCUGCCUGGUGGUGGGGGAUAACGUUCGGAAACGGACGCUAAUACCGCAUACGUCCUACGGGAGAAAGCGGGGGAUCUUCGGACCUCGCGCCAUUAGAUGAGCCUAGGUCGGAUUAGCUAGUUGGUGAGGUAAUGGCUCACCAAGGCGACGAUCCGUAACUGGUCUGAGAGGAUGAUCAGUCACACUGGAACUGAGACACGGUCCAGACUCCUACGGGAGGCAGCAGUGGGGAAUAUUGGACAAUGGGCGAAAGCCUGAUCCAGCCAUGCCGCGUGUGUGAAGAAGGUCUUCGGAUUGUAAAGCACUUUAAGUUGGGAGGAAGGGUAGUAACCUAAUACGUUGCUACUUUGACGUUACCGACAGAAUAAGCACCGGCUAACUUCGUGCCAGCAGCCG